CUGCGGUGAUGCACGCUUAGGACACCUUUGGAUUGCCCGUGAAAACACAUCGAGUCUGAGCAGC